rnacentral:rRNA from 1 species
AUGCAUGUCUAAGUACAAGCCGAUUUAAGGCGAAACCGCGAAUGGCUCAUUAAAUCAGCUAUGAUUCAUUGGAUCUGUACCCACACUUACUUGGAUAACUGUGGUAAUUCUAGAGCUAAUACAUGCACCACGUCUCUGACCGCAAGGGAAGAGCGCUUUUAUUAGUUCAAAACCGGUCGGGCCUCGGUCCGUCACCCCACCGUGUUGAAUCUGAAUAACUUGUCGCUGAGCGCACGGUCUCCGCACCGGCGCCGCCUCUUUCAAGUGUCUGCCUUAUCAGCUUUCGAUUGUAGGCUAUACGCCUACAAUGGCUAUAACGGGUAACGGGGAAUCAGGGUUCGAUUCCGGAGAGGGAGCCUGAGAAACGGCUACCACAUCUAAGGAAGGCAGCAGGCACGCAAAUUACCCACUCCCGGCACGGGGAGGUAGUGACGAAAAAUAACGAUGCGAGACUCAUCCGAGGCCUCGCAAUCGGAAUGAGUACACUUUAAAUCCUUUAACGAGGAUCUAUUGGAGGGCAAGUCUGGUGCCAGCAGCCGCGGUAAUUCCAGCUCCAAUAG